GGAAAGGCUAGAAAUACUUUUUAGAGUAUCUGUCAAACGUACUUUAAAUCAAUAAAAUCUAUGUUCAGCUUACUAAUAAUUUUUUUUUUUUUUGAUAGGAAACGACAAUGGAAUAUAUUACUAAAAAGAAGGUACAAUUAGAAGGAUGAGGAAUCCUCCCACCAAAGAGAAACAAGACUACAAGUAAUCAAAUAUAAGAAAUACAAAGAGAGAAUAAGCAAACGCUCUAUUUACACACCGCUAACCAAUCAAGUUGUAACACGUUAAGAGGUAUCCCCUUAAAAACCUUAGAACAAAAAGCCCA
rnacentral:lncRNA from 1 species